GACGAACGCUGGCGGCGUGCUUAACACAUGCAAGUCGAACGGAAAGGCCUGCUUUCCCUUGUGGAUUGCGGGUACUCGAGUGGCGAACGGGUGAGUAACACGUGAGUGAUCUGCCCCCAACUUGGGUAUAAGCCUGGGAAACUGGGUCUAAUUCCCGAUAGGACUGCAGGGUGGUGCCUGUGGUGGAACACGAUUUUCUAGUGGUUGGGGAUGAGCUCGCGGCCUAUCAGCUUGUUGGUGGGGUAAUGGCCUACCAAGGCGGCGACGGGUAGCCGGCCUGAGAGGGUGGACGGGCACAGUGAGACUGAGAUACGGCCCAGACUCCUACGGGAGGCAGCAGUGGGGAAUAUUGCACGAUGGGCGGAAGCCUGAUGCAGCGACGCCGCGUGGGGGAUGACGGCCUUCGGGUUGUAAACUCCUUUCGACCGCGAGGAAGCCACCUGGUUGGAAGGGUGGUGACGGUAGUGGUAGAAGAAGCACCGGCUAACUACGUG
rnacentral:rRNA from 1 species